rnacentral:piRNA from 1 species
UGCAGUCCACAGAAGGGGG